rfam:Oryza glumipatula chromosome 3, whole genome shotgun sequence.
AAAGACCCAAUUCCUAGGUUUUCAUGUCCUACGUUUGAUUGUCCGUCUUAUAUGAAUUUUUUUCAUGAUUAGUAUUUUCAUUGUUGUUAGAUGAUAAAACAUGAAUAAUACUUUAUGUGUGAUUUAUCUUUUUAAAUUUUUUCAUAUUUUUUUAAAUAAGAUGGACGGUCAAACAUUAGACACGGAAACACAAGAAUUGAGUUAUU